rnacentral:rRNA from 1 species
ACGGGUGAGUAACGCGUAUCCAACCUACCCAAUACUCAGGCAUAACCCGUUGAAAGACGGACUAAUUCCUGAUGGUAUGUAUUUUUCUCAUGAAUUAUACAUUAAAGAAUUUCGGUAUUGGAUGGGGAUGCGUCUGAUUAGUUUGUUGGUGAGGUAACGGCUCACCAAGACUUCGAUCAGUAGGGGUUCUGAGAGGAAGGUCCCCCACAUUGGAACUGAGACACGGUCCAAACUCCUACGGGAGGCAGCAGUGAGGAAUAUUGGUCAAUGGAUGGAAAUCUGAACCAGCCAAGUAGCGUGCAGGAUGACGGCCCUAUGGGUUGUAAACUGCUUUUAUGUGAGAAUAAAGUUAGGUAUGUAUACUUAUUUGCAUGUAUCACAUGAAUAAGGACCGGCUAAUUCCGUGCCAGCAGCCGCGGUAAUACGGAAGGUCCAGGCGUUAUCCGGAUUUAUUGGGUUUAAAGGGUGCGUAGGCCGUUUGAUAAGCGUGCUGUGAAAUAUAGUGGUUCAACCUCUAUCGUGCAGCGCGAACUGUUGAACUUGAGUGCGUAGUAGGUAGGCGGAAUUCGUGGUGUAGCGGUGAAAUGCUUAGAUAUCACGAAGAACUCCGAUUGCGAAGGCAGCUUACCGUAACGUUACUGACGCUUAAGCACGAAGGUGCGGGUAUCGAACAGGAUUAGAUACCCUGGUAGUCCGCACAGUAAAC